rnacentral:rRNA from 1 species
UACGUAGGGGGCAAGCGUUGUCCGGAUUUAUUGGGCGUAAAGAGCGUGUAGGCGGCCAGACAGGUCCGUUGUGAAAGUCAAAGGCUCAACCUUUGAAAGCCGGUGGAUACUGUGAGGCUAGAGUACGGAAGAGGCGAGUGGAAUUCCUGGUGUAGCGGUGGAAUGCGCAGAUAUCAGGAGGAACACCGGUGGCGAAGGCGGCUCUCUGGACCACAACUGACGCUGAGGCGCGAAAGCUAGGGGAGCAAACGGG